UACGAAGGGGGCUAGCGUUGCUCGGAAUCACUGGGCGUAAAGCGCACGUAGGCGGAUUGUUAAGUCAGGGGUGAAAUCCUGGAGCUCAACUCCAGAACUGCCUUUGAUACUGGCGAUCUCGAGUCGGGAGAGGUGAGUGGAACUGCGAGUGUAGAGGUGAAAUUCGUAGAUAUUCGCAAGAACACCAGUGGCGAAGGCGGCUCACUGGCCCGGUACUGACGCUGAGGUGCGAAAGCGUGGGGAGCA
rnacentral:rRNA from 1 species